CCGUCCGAUUUGUGAAGUUAAGCAGCCACAGGCUUAGUUAGUACUGAGGUCAGUGAUGACGCGGGAACCCUAAGUGCCGUACGCUCUCAAACACCC
rnacentral:rRNA from 1 species